rnacentral:rRNA from 1 species
CGGCAGCCCGAGUGGUGGCCGCUUUUAUUGGGCCUAAAGCGUCCGUAGCCGGUCCAGUAAACCCUUGGGUAAAUCGUGGGGCUUAACUCCAUGAAUUCCGAGGAGACUGCUGGACUUGGGACCGGAAGAGGUCGGAGGUACUCUGGGGGUAGGGGUGAAAUCCUGUAAUCCUCAGGGGACCACCAGUGGCGAAGGCGUCCGACUAGAACGGAUCCGACGGUGAGGGACGAAGCCCUGGGGCACAAACCGGAUUAGAUACCCGUGUAGUCC